AGAAACCUGCGGUUAUGAAGAAAGGUCUGAAAGUCAUUGAUGCACAUACUUAUUUUGUUGCAUGCUAAUUUGCUUCAAAUGGCAUGAACUGCAUUUAAUAUUUCCUUAUAAACUGCAAUUAAUAUUUUCAUGUUGACAACUCAUUAAAUUUUUUUCUCACUGUGUAAACACUCUUGACUCUUAUGUGUUGUUGUUGAGACAGUCUCACUCUUUCACUCAGGUUGGAGUGCAGUGGUGCAAUCAUGGCUUAUUGCAGCCUCGAUUUCCUGGUUGCCCAGGCUGGUCUUGAACUCCUGAGCUCAAGUAAUCCUCCUGUCGUGGCCUCCUAAAGUCCUGGGAUUACAGACAUGAGCCACUGCACUUGGCCUCUGUCUACUCUUUUUUUUUUUUUUUUUUUUUUUUAUAGACAUGCUCUCCUUCAGUUACCCAGAGUGGAGUGCAGUGGAAUGAUCAAGGGUAACUGCAUCCUCCACCUCUCAGGCUCAAGCGAUCCUCCCACCUCAGCCCCCUAUGUAGCUGGGACCACAGGUGCCGUGGCACCACACCAAGCUAAUUUUUACAUUUUUUUAGUAGAGAAGGGAUUUUGCCACAUUGGCCAGACUGGUCUUGAACUCCUGGCCUUAAGUGAUCUGCCUCCCAAAGUGCUGGGAUUAUAGGCGUGAGCCAUCACACCCGGCCACCUCUGUUGAGUCUUAGUAGUAAUUCUUUGCUGAUGUUUCUCUAAUUUCUUGCUUUAUGUCUUUCUGACACAGACACCUACCCCUCAGGGAACAGAAGCAGACCUUACUCCAUGCUCCCAACAUGCCUAGUGUUAGGCAUAGUGUGGUUUUAAAAAGAGCAAGAUCCCUUUAAGACCUUCCACAUAUACUUACUAAUGCCCCUCACGUCAUUUACAAGAGAAAAGUCCUUUCAUGACAUAGUAAGAAACUGGCAAAUGAUAGUGUGAAUAAGCUAUACACCAAGCAUAUAUGAAUCCUUUCUUCUAUGGACAGCUACCAACCAAAAAUGUGAGGAAACAACAGAGGCCAUUGAAGGGGUGAAAGUCAGGGGGAGGUAAGGCUAGGUAUAUGGGAGACUGGGGAGUUGACAAUUUUGUAGUGGUCUCGUUACCAGUACCUUUCUACCUGUGUGUGUACAGGGAGAACUGUGGGCCUAAGUGAGCUGGGGCCAGAAAGAUGUAGCGUAGCCUCUGAUCAUGGAAUUUUCAUUUUUUAAAUGGGUAAACUGGCAUGUUCUGCCAUCUUUUUUUUUUAAGAUGGAGUUCUAUCUUAUUGCCCAGGCUGGAGUGCAGUGGUGUAAUCUCGGCUCACUGCCUCCUGGGUUCAAGCAGUUCUCCUGCCUCAGCCUCCCAGGUAGCUGGGAUUACAGGUGUGUGCCACCAUGCCCGGCUGAUUUUUUAUUUUUUGAGUAGAGAUGGGGUUUCACCAUGUUUGUCAGGCUGGUCUCGAACUCCUGACCUCAAGUCAUUCACCCGCCUCGGCCUCCCAAGGUGCUGGGAUUACAGAUGUGAGCCACUGCACCCUGUAAUCUGUAGUAAAUCAGCCAUCAUUUUAUUGUACCUCUAUUGUAUGAAAGGUACUGUAGGAUAAUAUAAAGAUUUUAAAAAGACGUUUCACUCAGUUUUUAUGAUCUCAUGUGGAAAUAGUAACUGCACCAAGAUAGAAGUGAAUGAGAAGCUCACUACUGAAAGUGAGUUUCAGGUGCUACUGGAAUUUGCAGGUAGCAGAGAAGGAAUAAAACUACUAGUUAUAUUUUAGUAAACUAAGGAUGCAUACUACAAUGUCAAAAGUAAGCACUAAAAAUAAUGUGUAACUAAAAAGCUAAUAAACUAUUUGUACCUACUUUUAAAGGACUAAGCCAUUCAACUAAAAUAUUGUCACACUAGUAAGACUAUGUUGCUUUUUAAAGACUAAGAACAGGAAAACAGUUGAAAGUAAAAUACCAUAGUAGGCUUAGAGACAAAAAAGCAUUAUUACAAAAAAAGGAACAUUUCAAAAAUGAUGUGAGGAAGAUACAACAAUCAUAAAUUUAUAUGUACCUAAUAACAUCAAGCUAGAAAUAAAGUGGAAGUUCCACUUUUGGUUAGCUACAGAAGAUUGCUGAAGACCAUUACUCCUGCCAUAUUAAUGAGAAAAUACUGGAUAAAUUAACAUCAUAUUUGGCUUGAAAGUCAUUGGAGAACUGUUGACACAGAAGUGUAAAGAGGAAAAGAAUACUCUUAGUUGAAGAGACUAAUGACUGCUGUCAUUUUUGAAUGGAAAUAGCCUGUUACGGGGAGAAAAAUUUUGUAAUAACAGCUACACAAGGAGUAUCAUGGCAUAUUGGGGUCUGGAUGAGUCCCAAAUACAGAAUUACUUUUCCCCACACAUCAGUUUCUUUUCAGUGGAACUUUUCUGACUAAGCAAUGACAUAGGAAACCAGGGGCUGGGCUGUGAAACCAAGCAAAGCCUUGUAGCCUCAUGGUGAUCAAAUCACAAAACCUGACUGGAGAAUGGAGCCUAAUCUCUUUCAGACUUUGAAGCUAGAGGUAACCCAAAACCAAUUGAAGUAGCAACCCGGAACCCUUGCAGGUAAAUCUGUAAUAAAUAACUCAGACCCUCAUUCUUGCUGCAGGACAGAAGAAAGGGCAAAUUCUUUCUGAGAAAAUUAUUUAGGCUCUAUUGAUGUUUUGUACACAAAUGUCUGGUAUAUAAUAAAAAAGAUAAUGGAGGAAGCAGAAAAAUGUGACCCUUACAUGACAAAGUCAACAGAAGCAGAUCACAGAUAAUGGAGACUAGUAUUUUAGUAAGCAAAAACUUAAUAGGGCAUGGUGGCUCAUGCCUGUAAUCCCAGCACUUUGGGAGGCCAAGGUGGGCAGAUCAUGAGAUCAGGAGAUUUGAGACCAUCCUGGCCAACAUGGUGAAACCCCAUCUCUACUAAAAAUACAAAAAUCAGCUGGGCAUGGUGAUGGAUGCCUUUAAUCCCAGCUACUCAGGAGGUUGAGGCAGCAGAAUAGCUUGAACCAGGGAGUUGGAGGUUACAGUGAGCCAAGAUCGUGCCGCUGCACUCCAGCCUGGGCAACAGAGUGAGACUACAUCACAAAACAAACAAAAAACCUUUAAGAACAUAUACAUGUAUUAAAGAAUUUACAAGAAAGGAUGAGCAAAAUACAUGAAACAGUGAAUUUCAGCAAAAUACUGGAAACUAAAAACUAAAUGGAAAUUUUAGAACUAAAAUAUAUGAUUGAAAUAAUUCAUUGGAUGAGAUAAACAGAAAACUGGAUAUUGCAGAAAAAGGAUUAGUGAACUCAGAGAUCAAUUGAAAUUACCAAAACCGAGGCAAAAAGAGAAGAUUUUCAUACUGAAUUGUCAUCCAAAAAAUGAUAAAAUAUAUAAAAUUUGGACAACAGUUGUAAAAAUCUACAUUUAUGUGAUCUUACAACCAACAACUGCAGAAUAUACAUUAUUUUCAAAAAUUGGCUGGGUGUAGUGGUGCAUGCCUAUAGUCCCGAUACUCAGGAGGCUGAGGCAGGAGAAUCAUUUGGACCCGGGAGGUGGAGGUCCCGGGAGGUGGAUCUCAGCAAGCCGAGAUCUUGCUGCCACACUCCAGCCUGGCAACAGAGUGAGAUUCAUCUCAAAAAAAAAAAGAUAUGGAUUGCAAAUAAUAACAUAAAAAGGUGCUAAACACCAUUAGUCUUUAAGCAAAUGUAAGUUAAAACUACAAUAAGAUAUCAUCAUAUGUGCCUGUUAGAACAACCAGAAAAUAAUAUAAUGCUAGUAUUGGCAGCUAAAAUUCUCAUACACUGUUGGGGAAUAAAAAAUGGUACAGCCACUUUGGAAACCAUUUUGGGGCUUUCUUUAUAAUGUUUAACAUACAUUUACAGUAUAACCCAGCAAUUCCACUAAAACCUGUAUGUGAAUAUGUAUAGCAUUUUAAAUUCAUAAUUGCCCUGAAUUGGAAAAUCAAAAUAUUUUCAACUAUGAGUGAUUAAGAAAAUUGGGUUCAUCUGUACAACAGAAUACUUAGUAAUAAAAAGGAAAUGUUGAUGUAUACAAUAACGUGGAUGAAUGUCAAAGGAAAUUAAUUUUUAUUCAAUUUUCAAAUGAAUUGUUAAAGUAGACUCAAAAGACUAUAUAAUAUAUAACAUUUAUAUGACAUACCAUAAAAACUAUAAGGACAAAAAGCAGAUCAGUGAUUUCCAUGGAAUGGAGGUGCAGAAGGCAUUGACUGCUAAGGGUCACGUGGAAUUUACAGGGUAAUUCCAUUCUUUAACUUUUGUAACAGUUACACAACUCUGCUUUUUUGAAAAUGCAUAAAAUGAUAUAUUCAAGAAAUUUUACUAUGUGUAAAUUAUAUAUCAAUAAACCUGACUAAGUAAAAAAUAUAUCAACAAAAUAAAGGAGAAAAAUAGAUUCGGAAAAAUGCAUUUGAAAAACUUGUUAAAAAUCAUAAAAAAUAUAAAAAUCCUACCAACACCCACUUGUGAUCAAUGCUCUUGGCAAACUAGGAAUGGAAGGGAUUUUCAACUUGAUAAAGCAUAUCUAUGAAAACUUUAUAGUAUCAUUAUUAAUGCUGAGAUAUGGAGCACUUUUCCUUUAAAAUAUUAAUGACAGAGCAAGAAUGGCCAUUUUCUCCUUUUCUAUUCAAUAUUGUUAUAGAGGACCUAGCAAAUGUAAGAAGACAAGGUAAAAAGAUAAAAUAUAUUUACAAAAGGAAAAGAAAUAACUAUGCACAGACAAAAUGAUUAUGUAUGGAAAAAACGAAUCUAUGAAAAAAAGUCUAGAACUAAAAAGUGACUCAUGCUGUGGUAUACGAGGUUGUAUUAGGGUUCUCUAGAGGGACAGAACUAAUAGGACAUAUAAAUGUGCAUAUAUAUGUAUAUAAUUAUAGAUAUGGGAGUUUAUUAAGUAUUAACUUACACAAUCACAAGGUCCCACAAUAGGCUGUUGGCAAGCUUGAGGAGCAAAAAGAACCAGUCCCAAGUCUCCAAACUGUAGAACUUGGAAUCCAAUGUUUGAGGGCAGGAAGUGUCCAGCAUGGGAGAAAGAUAUAGGCUAGGGGGCUAGGCCAGUCUACACUUUUCACAUUUUUCUGUCUGCUUUAUAUUUGCUGGUAGCUGAUUAGAUGCUGCCCACCCAAUUAAGGGUGGGUCUGUCUUUUCCAACCCACUGACUCAAAUAUUAAUCUCCUUUAGCAACACACCCUCACAGACACACCCAGGAUCAAUACUUUGUAUCCUUCAGUCCAAUCAAGUUGACACCCAGUAUUAACUGUCACAAGUCCACUCCUUGUCAACUGGAACCCAUACACAUCUCUCGAGGUAAUACAUAGUCUUCAAAUAAAGACAAUAAUAGGGUCAUAAUUAUGCCUAACACAGCUGUUCUUUGCACAACCAGAAAUUCACCAAUCCCCAACCCAAAUACUAUUACAUAAACUUAACAACACUUAAAUGCUGAUAUGAAGUUAAUAAAUCUUAUGUCACAUAAGGAAAAAGGAAAUGAAAAUAUUUUCUUAGUACAAGUGUAUACAUGCACAAACAUGUUUUUAACAAAAGAACAAAUGACGGCCGGGCGCGGUGGCUCAAGCCUGUAAUCCCAGCACUUUGGGAGGCCGAGGCGGGUGGAUCACGAGGUCAAGAGAUCGAGACCAUCCUGGUCAACAUGGUGAAACCCCGUCUCUACUAAAAAUACAAAAAAAAUUAGCUGGGCAUGAUGGUGCCUGCCUGUAAUCCCAGCUACUCAGGAGGCUGAGGCAGGAGAAUUGCCUGAACCCAGGAGGCGGAGGUUGCGGUGAGCCGAGAUCGCGCCAUUGCACUCCAGCCUGGGUAACGAGCAAAACUCUGUCUCAAAAAAAAAAAAAAAAAAAGAACAAAUGACAAUUGCAGUCCCCAGUUCUGCACCUGGUUACAUGAUUGUAGCUCAUAUUGAUGACUACCUCCCGUUACCCAUUCUGUAUUUCCUUUGCCUUUAGUUAGCACCUCAGCAGAUUCUUUUUGUUUGUUUGUUUCCUGGUGGAGUGACCCAAACCUUCAUUCCUGAAGGGUGUGGGCUGUUUGUAGUCCUGCCUGGAUUGGGCUGUUGUAGUUUCCCAUUGACCUUAAUCACAGGGCAAUACUAAGAGACAACUUAAUGGAUUUCCUGUAUUCUAUGCCAACUAUUCCUUACCUCCAUUGUGGAGUAGCAGACUGAUUUCAUCUUGAUAGUCCGGGUAAAUUAUCCCAGCCAAACUAACUUCCUUUUAGCCUGUUGACUUAAAGAUAGGAGGAGCCGAAAGUGUCCAAGUGGCAAUCUUAACUUCCAGUUUAAUGGGAUCGUUGUUGUGUCUUUUGGUGGCAAUGUGCCUCCCUCUGGAACUAAGACCUCUAGGACAGAUGAACAUAAUGUUAUGGGAAUAGGAAACAAAAAUCUUUGUUAGUGGAUCACUAUGGGUGAUGGUGAGUGGUGCCACUUCCACUUCCACACUGUGAUUCCUGGACCCCUGAAUCCUGGCUAUGGGAGAAACUACCAUAUAUUGGACACUGAUUCAGAGUGUACAUGGCCUUCUGGAGAACUUUGCCUAGCCCUGCAAAGUAGUUGGCAUUGUAAUUGUGACUUCAAAAGGCCAUUCCACCAUUCUGUCAAUCGAGCUGCUUCAGGAUGAUGGAGAACAGGGUAAGACCAGUGAAUUCCAUGAGCACGAGCCCAUUGCCACAUUUCUUUAGCCAUAAAGUGAGUGCCUUGGUUAGAGGCAAUGCUGUGUGGAAUACCAUAAUGGUGGGUAAGGCAUUCAGAGUCCAGUAUAAUCAACCUGCCACCAGGUAGCUAGCUGAUCACCCUGAGGAAUGUUGCCAUAUUGAGCGCUCAGUGUUGGUCUCUGCUUCUGGCAAAUUGGUCACUCAGCAGUGGCCAUAGCCAAGUCAGCCUUCUUGAGUGGAGAUCCAUGUUGCUGAGCCCAUGCAUAAGCUCCAUCCCUGCCACCAUGGCCACUUUGUGCAUGGGCCCAUUGGGCAAUAACGGGUGGCUGAGGAAAGAGGCUGAGUGGUGCCCACAGAAUGGGUCAUCCUAUCUACUGGAUUAUUAAAAUUCUCCUCUGCUGAGGUCAUCUGUUGGUGACUUCUCGCAUGGGAUCCAAAUGUCUUCACAGGUUUUUACCACUCAUAGAUUUCUAUCCACAUACCUCUUCCCCAAAUUUCUUUGUCACCAAUUUUCCAAUCUUAUGUCUUCCAAGUCCCUGACCAGACAAACCAUUGGCUACAGCCCAUGGAUCAGUAUGUAAUCUCACAUCUGGCCAUUUUUCCUUCCACGCAAAGUGCACAACAAAGUGCAUUGCUCAAAGUUCUGCCCACUGGGAAGAUUUCCCUUCACUGCUGUCCUUCAGGGAUGUCCUAGAAAGGGGCUGUAGUGCUGCAGCUGUUCACUUUUGGGUGAUGCCUGCAUAUCAUUCAGAACCAUCUGUGAACAAGGCCCUAGUCUUCUUUUUCUAUCGAUUGAUCAUAGGGAACUCCUCAUGAGGCCAUUAGUGCAAACUGAGGAAGAGAAGGCAGGGUGGCAGGAAUGGAAACCAUGGGCAUUUGAGCCACCUCCUCAUAUAACUUCCUUGUGCCUUCAGGACUUACUUGAGCCCCAUCACGUAUAUACCACUACCAUCUGAUGAUGGAAUGCUGCUGUGCAUCACGUGUAUACCACUACCAUUUGAUGAUGGAAUGCAACCAGUGCAACCCAUUUUAUGGCUAGAUUGGUCGGAAAGCACCCAGUUCAUGAUAGGCAGUUCAGUUGACUUGAUGACCCAUAGUCAAACGUUCAGUUUUCACCAAAGCCCAGUAACAGGCCAAGGGCUGACUCACUAAAGGAGAGUAGUUAUCUGGAGAAGAUGGCAGGGCCUUGCUCCAAAAUCCUAGAGGCCUCUGCUGUGAUUCACCUAUGGGGGUCUGCUAAAGGCACCAAACAGCAUCCUUCUCUGCCACUGACACCUCAAGCACCAUUGGAUCUUGGUGGGUCAUAUGGUCUAUGGCAGAGCAGCUUGCACAGCUGCCUGGGCCUGUUACAGAGCCUUCUUCUGAUCUGGAACCCACCCAAAACUGGUAGUCUUUCGUGUCACUCAAAAAAUGUGCCAGAAUAACACACCCAAAUGAGGAAUGUGUUGCCUCCAAAAUCCAAAUAGGUCCACUAGGCGUUGUGCCUCUUUCUUGGUUGUAGGAGGAGCCAAAUGCAGCAACUUAUCCUUCACCUUAAAAUAUCUCAACAAGCUCCAAGCAGUAGACCCCCUAGAAAUUUUACUGAGGUAGAAAGUCCCUGAAUUUUAGUUGGAUUCAUUUCCCAUCCUCUGGCAUGCAAAUGUCUCCCCAGUAAGUCCAGUGUGUUUGCUACUUCUUGGUCACUGGAUCCAGUCAACAUGAUAUCAUCAAUGUAAUGGAUCAAUGUGAUAUCUUGUGGAAGCAAAGAGCAAUCAAAGUUCUCCCAAUAAGAUUAUGGCACAAACCUGGAGAGUUGAUGUACCCCUGAGGUAGCACAGUAAAGGUAUACUGCUGGCCUUGCCAGCUGAAGGCAAAUUGUUUCUGGUAGGCCUUAUGGACAGGAAUGGAGAAAAAAGCAUUUGGCUAGUAAGUGGCUGCAUACCAGGUACCAGGAGAUGUGUUAAUUUGCUCAAGCAAUAAACUACAUCUGGUACAGCAGCUGCAACUGGAGUCACCAUUUGGUUAAGCUUGCAGUAAUUCACUAUUAUUCUCCAAGAUCUGUCUGUCUUCUGCACAGGCCAGAUGGGAGAGUUGAGUGGGGAUGUCGUGUGAAUCACCACCCCUGUCCUUCAAGUCCUUGAUGGUGGCACUAAUCUCCACAGUCCCUCCAGGGAUGCAAUGCUGUUUUUGAUUUACUAUUUUUCUAGGUAGAGGCAGCUCUAAUGGCUUCCAUUUGGCCUUUCCCACCAUAGUAGCCCUCACCUUACCAGUCAGGUAACCAGUGUGAGGGUUCUGCCAACUGCUACGUAUGUUUAUGCCAAUUAUGCAUUCUGACACUGGGGAAGUGACCACAGGAUAAGUCUGGGGACCCACUGGACCCACUGUAAGUCAGACCUGAGCUAAAACUGCAUUAAUUGCCUGAUCUCUGUAAGCCCCUACUUUUAAUGGAGGACCACAAUGAUGUUUUGGGUCUUUUGGAAUCAAUGUCAGCUCAGCGCCAGUGUCCAGUAGUCCCAGAAAUGCCUGAUCAUUUCCCUUCCCCCAUGCACAGUUACCCUGGUAAAAGGCCAGAGGUCUCCUUGGGGAAGGAUAGGAGAAAGGUUCACUGCACAAAUUGUUGGUAGUGUAGUGUUGUCUUUCCUCAAGGGGACCCAGCCUCUCCUUCAUUCUGGGUCUGUAAAUUGGCUCAAGUCUGGAAAUUGAUUCAGGGGCCAUGAUUCUCUGUUUUUGUAAUUCAAAUUAGUCUUUUUCUCUUUUGACCUAGAAGUUUUCUGCUUAUAUAAAUUAAGUAGGAAUGUAGGAGGCUUCCUAUUUGCUUUUAGGAACACCAUGAUUAAUUAGCCAAUGCUAGAGCUCUACCUGAGUCAGGCUAUUCUGAUUGCUGCUUUGCCUCUGCUAUCCAUUACCGUAGCUACACCCACCUUGCUUUUGAUGAUUGAGUGCCACACUUGGCCCCUACCAACUUGGGAUCCAACUAUUCCCAUUGUAUUUAAAUUUUGUAGUUGAGUGGCUGCAGUUCUCACCAUUAAAUGUGGCAUACAGAGAAGAGCAAUGACAGGGCUUUCCAAAAAUGCAGAUACUGCCCUCACAAAUUAUUUCAGAAGGCACUAGUUGAGGUAUAUAUUCUGGACCCUCCCAGCUUGGAUGAGUAGGUCUAAAGUAGGUCUAAAAUCCACUUCACUAUCCCAAUCUUCCUAAGUCUUUGGAUCCUUUCCUCUACAUUAAACCAAGGGACAUCAGGAAUUUCCAGCUUGCUCACAGUGGACCAUAUUUUAAUCCAUAGCUCAGCUAACUAAGCAAAUAAACUAUUAGAACUUUUUUAAAAAAUUUUUUAUUGCAUUUUAGGUUUUGGGGUACAUGUGCAGAACAUGCAAGACAGUUGCAUAGGUACACACAUGGCAGUGUGUUUUGCUUCCUUUCUCCCCUUCACCCACAUUUGGCAUUUCUCCCCAGGCUAUCUCUCCCCACCUCCCCCUCCCACUGGCCCUCCCCUUUUCCCCCCAAUAGACCCCAGUGUUUAGUACUCCCCUCUCUGUGUCCAUGUGUUCUCAUUUUUCAUCACCCGCCAUCUGACAACGGGCUGAUAUCCAGAAUUUACAAAGAACUCAAAUAGAACUUUUUUAAAUGUCCCAAACUGUAAUAUUAAAAGCAGAGUCCCUACUUAGUAGGCCCAAAUCAAUAAAUUCAGCCUGAUCCAACUCUAUGUUCCUUCCACCAUUAUCCCAUACCCUUAAUAUCCAUUCCCAUGCCUAUUCUUCAGAUUUCUGUUUAUUUAAAUUAGAGAACCCAAACAGUUCUUUUUGAGUGUAUCACAUCUUCUUAUGGGUCACACUCUCAACCUCACUUCUAUGGGCUCACUGGGACUUUAGUUAUAGGUCUAGAAGCAAACAGGGGUGUUGGGGCCUGGCAGCUGCCUCAGGGGAGGCCAUCACUGUUGCCUCAGGCAGUGCAGGGUUUAUCUCCUCAGACAAAGGUGGAAAGGCUGGUGGCAGCAUGGGUCAGGGAGGGGAUGUUGCCACUACUGGCAAAAAAGUUUCUUCAGAGUUUACAAACUCAGUGUCCCCAACUUCAUCAAGGUCCUCCCACAUGUCCCCAUUCCAAGUUGAAGGGCCCCAUUCUUUUCUAAUCAAUGCCCUCACUUGAACAGUAGACACCUGGCGAGGCUGUGCAUGCACCUUUUACUGCAGAUCAGCCACUUGCAUGAUAAGAACUUGUGUCUGUUUUUCCACAAUUUCAGCUCUUUCUCUACAGGAGACAAGACUCUCAUUCAGGGCAAUCUUAGCAGAUUUGAGGCUCAGUGCCUGCUUCUGAAGCCAUGAGACAGAAUCUCUGAGUUCAUCAUUUUAUUUCAUCACUUUGUCCAAUGUACUUAGGAGCAACCAACCAGCUUCAUUACGUUCCUUGGUUCUCCACAUAUGGUCAAAGGUAUUAUAUAGAGAGUCACUAAAUUCCUUGCCUCUCAGGAGCAGUGACUCAGAAGCAUCAAAUGAGAUUUAAAAGAUGCCAGGCCAGGUGUGGUGGCUCAUGCCUAUAAUCCCAACACUUUGGGGUCUGAGACAGGAGAAUUGCUUGAGGCCAGUUGUUUGACACCAGUCUGGGCAACUUAGUAAGACCCAUCUCUACAAAAAAAAUAAAUAGGUAGGUGUGGUGGCACUUUCCUGUCAUUCUAGCUACUCAAGAGGCUAAGGCUUGAAGACCACUUGAGCCCAGGAGUUUGAGGUAGCAGGAAGCUAUUAUUGUGCCACUGCACUCCAACCUGGGUAAUAGAGGGAUACCCUGUCUAUAAAAUAAAAAUAAAAAUUAUAAAUAAAUAGCAUUCUGGGCAGGUGUCUGGGGAGCACAGCAGCCAUGGCCAGCCACCUUGUGCUCCACAAUGGUGCCAAGAUGUCCAUCCUCGGGCUGGGCACCUGGAAUUCCCCUCCAGGCCAGGUGACUGAGGCUGUGAAGGUGGCCCUUGAUGUUGUGUACCACCACAUCGACUCUGCCCAUGUGUACCAGAAUGAGAAUGAGGUGGGUGUAGCCAUUCAGGAGAAGCUCAGGGAGCAGGUGGUGAAGCUUGAGGAGCUCUUCAUCGUCAGCAAGCUGUGGUGCAUGUACCAUGAGAAGGGCCUGGUGCAAGGAGCCUGCCUGAAGACGCUCAGCGACCUAAAGCUGGACUACCUGGACCUCUACCUUAUUCACUGACUGGCUUUAAGCCUGGGAAGGAAUUUUUCCCAUUUGAUGAGUUGGGCAGUGUGGCUCCCAGUGACACCAACAUUCUGGACACGUGGGCAGCCAUGGAAGAGCUGGUGGAUGAAGAACUGGUGAAAGCUAUUGGCAUUUCCAACUUCAACCAUCUCCAGGUGGAGAGGAUCUUAAACAAAUCUGGCUUAAAGUAUAAGCCUGCAGUUAACCAGAUUGAGUCCCACCCGUACCUCACUCAGAAUUUAGUCCAGUACUGCCAGUCCAAAGGCAUUGUGGUGACUGCCAAAACCCCCUUGGCUCUCGCAACAGGCCCUGGACCAAGCCCAAGGACCCUUGCCUCCUGGAGGAUCCCAUGAUCAAGGCGAUUGCAGCCAAGCACAGUAGAACUACAGCCCAGGUCCUGAUCUGGUUCCCCUUGCAGAGGAACUUGGUGGUGAUCCCCAAGUCUGUGACAACAGAACGCAUUGCUGAGAACUUUAAGGUCUUUGAUUUUGAACUAAGCAGCCAGGAUAUGACCACCUUACUCAGCUACAACAGGCACUGGAGGGUCUGUGCCUUGGUGAGCUAUGCCUCCCACAAGGAUUACCCCUUCCAUGAAGAGUUUUGAAGCUGUGGAUGCCUGCUUGUUCCUAAGUGACCUAUGCUUGUGUUUCCUGCCUUAUUUUUUUCCUUGCAAAUGUAGUAUAAGCCUGUGUCACUCAGCAGUGGAACAACAACCUGUAGAGUGGCCAGUGAGGGUGUGUGUAGCUUGACGUUGGAUAUGAAGAGGCCUGUCAGUAGAGUAGAAGUCUCUUCUAGUUUGCUUUGCCCUUCUUUUUGCCCUGCUGGGGAAAGUACAACCUAA